rnacentral:misc_RNA from 1 species
AUGGCCGGACCACUCUGAGAGGACUUCACGGCAUACGCAGACGUGUGCUUCAGCAACUUCGGCGACAGGGUGAAGUACUGGAGCACCAUCAACGAGCCCAACGUCGAGACGAUCGGUGGGUACGAUCAAGGAAUCCUGCCACCACGGCGAUGCUCGUCCCCCUUCAGCUUCGGCUGCGAGGAAGGCAACUCCACCAUGGAGCCAUACGUAGCGGCGCACCACCGCUUGCUUGUGCACGCGUGUACAGUGUCCCUGUACAGAGACAAGUACCAAGCUGAGCAAGGAGGACGGAUUGGACUGACCUUGCUUGGUUGGUGGUACGAUCCUAGGACUCAGACUCCCAACGAUGUCGCGGUAGCCGCAAGGAUGGACGAUUUCCACAUCGGAUGGUUCAUGCAUCCUAUGGUGUUCGGGGACUACCCUCCGGUGAUGAGGAAGAACGUCGGGUCCAGGCUGCCGACCUUCACGGACGAGGAGGCGGCGCGAGUGAGGGGGUCUUUCAACUUCGUCAGAUUCAACCACGCUCUAACGCGACCUCCAAGGAACUGGAUUGAAGCUGCUUGUCGCGUUGUCGGGCAAAGGUUUCGGCUGUGGCGGUGCUGGAGGGGGAUAGGGACGAGAGAAGACUCCGAAUUCGAGAUGGAAUAG